rnacentral:lncRNA from 1 species
CCACCCGUUUUUGUGGCCUUUUUCCGCUGGACGAACUUGGCGCCCCGGCCUUCGGGCGGUUAUUUGUGGGUGCGGCUUUGUACUCGGCCUAUAUUUUGCACACGGAGGCCCCUCGUAAAGGCUCGCGGCAUUCCGAGUCCGGCGGACGAAGGUGGCCAGCCCCACCCCCCAAGGCUAUAGCCCACCCGUUUUUGUGGCCUUUUUCUGCUGGACGAACUUGGCGCCCCGGCCUUCGGACGGUUAUUUUUGGGUGCGGCUUUGCCCGCGGCCUAUUUUUGGCACACGGAGGCCCCUCGCAAAGUCUCGCGCCAUUCCGAGUCCGGCGGACGAAGUCGGCCAGCCCCACCCCCCAACGCUAUAUCCCACCCGUUUUUGUGUCCUUUUUCCGCUGGACAAACUUAGCGCCCCGGCGUCCGGGCGGUUAUUUUUGGGCGCGGCUUUGCCCGUGGCCUAGUUUUGGCACACGGAGGCCCCUCGCAAAGUCUCGCGGCAUUCCGAGUCCGGCGGACGAAGUUGGCCAGCCCCACCCCCCAAGGCUAUAACCCACCCGUUUUUGUGGCCUUUUUCCGCUGGACGAACUUGGCGCCCCGGCCUUCGCGCAGUUAUUUUUGGACGCGGCCUUGCCCGCGGCCUAUUUUUGGCACAUGGAGGCUCCUCGCAAAGUCUCGCGUCAUUCCGAGUCCGGCGGACGAAGUCGGCCAGCGCCACCCCCCAAGGCUAUAGCCCACCCGUUUUUGUGGCCUUUUUCCGCUGGACGAACUUGGCGCCCCGGCCUUCGGGCGGUUAUUUUUGGGCGCGGCUUUGCCGCGGCCUAUUUUUGGCACACGGAGGCCCCCUCGCAAAGUCUCGCGCCAUUCCAAGUCCGGCGGACGAAGUAGGCCAGCCCCACCCCCCAAGGCUAUAACCCACCCGUUUUUGUGGCCUUUUUCCGCUGGACGAACUUGGCGCCCCGGCCUUCGGGCGGUUAUUUUUGGGCACGGCUUUGCCCGUGGCCUAGUUUUGGCACACGGAGGCCCCUCGCAAACUCUCGCGCCAUUCCGAGUCCGGCGGACGAAGUCGGCCAGCCCCACCCCCCAAGGCUAUAGCCCACCCGUUUUUGUGUCCUUUUUCCGCUGGACGAACUUGGCGCCCCUGCCUGCAGGCGGUUAUUUUUGGGCGCGCCUCUGCCCGCGUCCUAUUUUUGGCACACAGAGGUGCCUCCUAAAGUCUCGCGCCAUUCCGAGUCCGGCGGACGAAGUUGGCCACCCCACCCCCCAAGNNN